GAUGAAGAACGUAGCGAAAUGCGAUAAGUAGUGUGAAUUGCAGAAUUCCGUGAAUCAUCGAAUCUUUGAACGCACAUUGCGCCUUCUGGUAUUCCGGAAGGCAUGCCUGUUCGAGAGUCAUUAACAACCGUUUCGAUCCCUUCUUUCAGAAAUUACAAAGAGGAAAAGGGUUUGGUUAUGGUGGAGGAGGGAAAGGGAGCGUUUAGCCUGUAAAAAAAGAGGCUGUGUUCCGCCUCCCCCCCAAAAUUGUACAGGCGGUCGUGUGCGCCCACGCAUCGAGGUGUUGUAAAAGCUGCCACGGCACUUUUCACCUGUGCAGUGCGAGAUUGGCCAGCCGGUUUAAAAACCCCUCCAAACAAUCAAAGGUUGACCUCGGAUCAGGUAGGGAUACCCGCUGAACUUAAGCAUAUCAAUAAGCGGAGGA
rnacentral:misc_RNA from 1 species